UUCAAUGGCAAUUGGUAAUUGAUGAUUUAUUAACAUUAUUAUGUUCAUUUUUCAGCUCAUAACUCUGUCAACACAGAUUUUAUUCUUAUUAACUAUAGAAUCUUAUUUGUUAAUAAUUUCAUUCUGAUAAUUUGUUCUCGUUUCACUUUUUAUUCAAAAAUAAUUUAAACCGUAUAAUAAAAUACACGUAAGGUAAGGUGGGGUAUGUGUAAGGCCAUAUGUUCUGUUUUGAACAAGACAAUCCCAUUUUUUGUAGCUCUGUCCUGUUGUUCCCUGGGGUAUUCGGGACGAAAAUAUGUCUCGUUUUUAGAAGGUAAACAAAUAAAUAACAAGAAUCAAUUGUGUGUACACGGCGGAAGGUCGAGUUUGUAGUUGGAAUUUCUUGAACGUCGUUGCCGGUUAUUGGACUUAUUGAAGAAAAUAUGUUCCAACGAAAAAUAUAAGUACCAGUAA